rnacentral:misc_RNA from 1 species
GCCCACAUUUUUUUUUCUUUUUUGAAUUUAUUACAAAUGGGAAUUUAGUAUGCCACUUGAUUUUUAUGGAUCAUAUAUUACAAUAUUAUAAUAUGAUAAAUGUGUUGCUCGGCAACGGCAUAUGUGUCUGGCUUGCAACCAUGAAGGUUGCAGAUUUGAUUUGAGACUUCUCAAUUCAUGUAGGUUGUUGAAAAGUGGAAUUUCUCUAACUUCCAUUUAAGAGGGACCGU